GGUUAAGCGACUAAGCGUACACGGUGGAUGCCCUGGCAGUCAGAGGCGAUGAAGGACGUGCUAAUCUGCGAUAAGCGUCGGUAAGGUGAUAUGAACCGUUAUAACCGGCGAUUUCCGAAUGGGGAAACCCAGUGUGUUUCGACACACUAUCAUUAACUGAAUCCAUAGGUUAAUGAGGCGAACCGGGGGAACUGAAACAUCUAAGUACCCCGAGGAAAAGAAAUCAACCGAGAUUCCCCCAGUAGCGGCGAGCGAACGGGGAGGAGCCCAGAGCCUGAAUCAGUGUGUGUGUUAGUGGAAGCGUCUGGAAAGGCGCGCGAUACAGGGUGACAGCCCCGUACACAAAAAUGCACAUACUGUGAGCUCGAUGAGUAGGGCGGGACACGUGGUAUCCUGUCUGAAUAUGGGGGGACCAUCCUCCAAGGCUAAAUACUCCUGACUGACCGAUAGUGAACCAGUACCGUGAGGGAAAGGCGAAAAGAACCCCGGCGAGGGGAGUGAAAAAGAACCUGAAACCGUGUACGUACAAGCAGUGGGAGCCUCUUU
rnacentral:rRNA from 1 species